rnacentral:rRNA from 1 species
UUUUGAAUUUCCACUAGCGGAGGAAAAGAAACUAACAAGGAUUCCCCUAGUAACGGCGAGUGAAGAGGGAAAAGCUCAAAUUUAAAAGCUGUUAUCUUUCAGGUAACCGCAUUGUAAUCUAAAGAAGUGUUUUCUGUUCUAGCCUGCGUAUAAGUACCUUGGAAUAGGUUGGCAUAGAGGGUGAAACUCCCGUCUUUGAUGUAGAUUACUAGAACUAUGUGAUACACUUUCUAAGAGUCGAGUUGUUUGGGAAUGCAGCUCAAAAUGGGUGGUAAAUUCCAUCUAAAGCUAAAUAUUGGCCUGAGACCGAUAGCGAACAAGUACCGUGAGGGAAAGAUGAAAAGCACUUUGGAAAGAGAGUCAAACAGAACGUGAAAUUGCUGAAAGGGAAGCGUUUGAAGUUAGUCUGGUAGUGAUUGUUCAGUGGUGGCUUUGGCUGCUAUGUAUGCAACUACUUACCGGUCAACAUCAAUUUUGACUGAUGGAUAAAGGUGAUAGGAAUGUGGCUAACCUCGGUUAGUGUUAUAGCCUAUCAUCAUACACAUUGGUUGAGAUUGAGGAUAGCGGUGUACCUGUUACUACAGGCAGAUUUAAGAAUCUAUACACCAAGGAUGU